GGUGGAGCAUCUGAUGGACUCGGUGAU
rnacentral:piRNA from 1 species